ensembl:lncRNA
CUAUAAUUCAUCAACCUCAAAUAUGACUUUUCAUCUCAAAGAUUUAUGUAGUAACAACUUUACAUGUAUGGCCACUCAAUCUAAUGUUAUCGUAGAGAAUUGUGCAAUAUUGAAGUGUCUGUGUGGAAGUUGAACAGUAGCACUCAUUGGAGGACAGAUGGCUACUUGCUCUUAAAAUCUCUCUAUGUUUAUUUAUGUGCACUCAGAAUAACAAUGAAACAUUGCGCUUUUUUAAAAUAUAAAACAACAGGAUGCGCUUUCUGCCACCUCGGUCAUGUGAACGAGUGAGAAACUAAAAAACUCUGUGUGUGAAAAAUAUAUCUACAGAGAGUGAAAUAUCUACUUUCAAAAAAAAAAAAAGUGUGUAUUCUUCAAACAAAGUUCUUUUUUCAUUCUUCGUUUGGGAGCAAAAAGAAGUUUGAAAAGGCUGAGCAACAGUAUACUGUUUCCGAACAUUCCGACACCCCGCGCUGGUGGAGGCGGGGUGUAGAUUAAAGGAGGGGGUGAAAUGCUCAUUUUCACUCAAUCUCCUGUUAAUCUUGAGUACCUAUAGAGUAGUACUGCAUCCUUCAUAUCUCCAAAAAGUCUUUAGUUUUAUUAUAUUUAUAAGAGAAAGAUAGUCUGUACCGUUUUUUUUUUUUCGGAAAAACACGAGCGGCUGGAGGCGUGACGUGUGGGCGGAGCUAAAGAAUCACGAGCGCAAGUAGGCUUUUGCGUUGAGAGCGUCUGGAAACUGUGACAUUACCGUGAGGAGAAAAAACAUCAUCCAAAACAAACCAUGACUAACAGUCAAAUUCAGCCGUAUAUUUAUGAUCCAGAAUCAGAUCCCAAGGCUGAAAUUGAACAAGAGCAGCAGCAGCAACUAUAGCAGGACGUCUCUAUGUGUGAAUGUCUCUGCUCUGCUCUACGGGCGCGCGUGCGCUAUUCCGGGAGAAGUGCCCUUAGGACCCAUAUAAGGAAAUUCCGCUCCAUCUAACGUCACACAGACCCAUCCUUGAAAAAAACCUUCCGAAACUUGUGACAAACCGGAAGGACUAUUUUUGGAACAGAAAUACUCCUUCAAACAUACAACUUAAUUUUUGAAACUUUGUCCAUGUUUAGCAUCGGAAUCCAACUCUUUAACAGUGUAAAAAACUCAGUAUGCAUGAAAUGGCAUUUCACCCCCCCUUUAAUGUAAACAUGACUUGCGAUGCUCGCGCACAUCCCCUAAACAUAACAAUGAUGAAAUUAUGAAAUGUAGGCAAUAUAGGUGUGAGACGGGCACCAAUGGUCAGAAUAUUAUAGACAAAGAAUAAUGUUUAGCAGCAGUUCAGAGUCAAGUAUCAUGUUUGCAAUUCAAAAGAACCAUAAUCAGUCCUUUAUGGAAAGUGUGAAUGUCUCAUAGUCUGUAUAAACUUUAGCAUGAUGCGGGAAAAAAAUAUUGGAAUCACUUUAUUUUAUUAAUGUUCAUUUAUUAUAUUAAACUGGAUACAUUUUUACACCUUUUUAUAUUUUAUGUGGUGUCAAUGAUUUACUUUUGGCAUUUCAUUUAUUGUAUACCCUUUAAAUUAGUUUUUUG